UUUCCGUAGGUGAACCUGCGGAAGGAUCAUCAAUAUAUUUUGGAUAUUUCCAAGAGCGUGUGAACGGUAUUUGGGUGGGCGGUGAGUGGUUGGCAGGCCAGGCCGAUAGGCCGAGUGGGUGAGUGGGUGGUCGGCCGACGCAAGUCGGUCCCCGUCUCGUCACCCGGGCCUGCCACCCGCAUUGCCCGCAUUGCCCGCAUUCUACUUGCAAGCACUAGUCACGAAUGCGUACUGACUCUUGACUAUACUAUAAUCAAACACAACUUUCAACAAUGGAUCUCUUGGCUCUC
rnacentral:misc_RNA from 1 species